AGCACACAGUCAGCUCUGCAUGGGACGCGCCCCAAGGGGGGCUCUUCAGUGUAGUACAAAGAGCACAGCCUUUGAAGUCAGGCAGACCUGGGUUCAAAUCCUCAGUGGCCUCAGAUCUUCUUUCCUUGUGAACUCUGUUCAUCAUUAGAGCAACAGAGAGAGAAUGGUGAUAAAGAAGCCUGUCAUGCUGGACUUGUGGCACACGCCUACUAUCCCAGAGACUCGGGAGGCUGAGGCAGGAGGAUGUUAAAGUCAAGACCAGCCUCAGUAUCCUAGCAGCAACUUAGAAAAGAAACAGUGCACCCAGGAAGCCUUGUCCCAUAUCCGUGCCAGUGGAGCAUGUGGGGGGCUUUUCUCCCUUGUGGGAGGACAGCUGGCCAGGAGGACUGGCAAGAGAAGAUGGAAACACCUGCUGCAGCAAUAAAGAUUUCCAGAACCGAAGAGCUGGUGUUGGGCUCGGCAUUGAGUCAGCCCUCAGAAUGUGCCUCUACAACAGGAUGUGUCUUGCUGACCACCAAUCAUCUGCUGUAUCUGUAGCAGACACCACAUACUCACUCUCUCAAUACCCACUUCCACCCCUUCUUGGUCUAUGGGGAGGACAACUGUCAAAGACACAGCAUCCCUCCUGGUGAUCCUGCAGGGAUGUAGAGGCUGUGUGUUCUUGCAGUUGAAGCAACGUAUGUUCAGGAGGGAAAGACGGCUGUUCCAUUCCUUGCUCACUAUUGGGCUAAUGCUGUUUUUGUUUCAUUGCCUCAAAUAAAUACCUGGUGCUGAUCAGCAAUAGUUUCCAAAUGUAGACAAAACCCCCAGAAAAGUGGAAAGAAAAGAGAAAAAUCAUCCAUGGUUGUACUAUCCUGAGACCACUACUCUGAACAGUUUUUGCGGGUGCUUUUCUUUCCUGCCAUUUGCCCAUAAUUGCUUCACAUGGCUGAGAUCAGCCUGCACGUGUGGAUUUUACAUCCUGCCUUUUGUGCUUGAUAGGAUGCCAUAAACAUUUCCCCGUGUCAUUAAAAGUUCUGUAAACAUCAUUUUUAACGGCUACAAAAUAUUCCCUUCUCUGAAUGAACCAUAAUUUACCUAACCAAUUCCCUGAAGUGGAGCAUUUAGUGGUUUUCCAAUUUUUCCCUGGUAAAUAAAGCGGCUGUGAACAAC